rnacentral:sRNA from 1 species
AGGCCUAGCUGUGUGGGGUUAGAAGCUACUAAUGGUUUACGCAGUAGAGUCAAUGCUGCAGCCAUUUUGUGCUAUCUUGUCCAACUCUCCCUCUCCGAGUGGGUAAUACAAAGUGAGAAAUAGGGUGUUGCAAAUAAUCGAAUACGGGUCAAUCGCAUCCCGUGCUUCCGCCAUCAUGGCCAGAAAAUUUUACUUAGGUUUAGGCGGCUACAAGAUUUUGGCAGAUUUGAUUUUUGGAAAAGAAAUCAACUUGGAAAACUUAUGAAGUUGAUUUAAUUUCUUGAUUAUGAUUCCCCAUGUUGUGUCCACUCCUCAAAAACCUA